rnacentral:rRNA from 1 species
AGAGUUUGAUCAUGGCUCAGAUUGAACGCUGGCGGAAUGCUUUACACAUGCAAGUCGAACGGUAGAGGGGGCAACCCCUUGAGAGUGGCGAACGGGUGAGUAAUAUAUCGGAACGUGCCCAGUCGUGGGGGAUAACGUAGCGAAAGUUACGCUAAUACCGCAUACGAUCUAAGGAUGAAAGCGGGGGAUCGCAAGACCUCGCGCGAUUGGAGCGGCCGAUAUCAGAUUAGGUAGUUGGUGGGGUAAAGGCUCACCAAGCCAACGAUCUGUAGCUGGUCUGAGAGGACGACCAGCCACACUGGAACUGAGACACGGUCCAGACUCCUACGGGAGGCAGCAGUGGGGAAUUUUGGACAAUGGACGCAAGUCUGAUCCAGCCAUUCCGCGUGCAGGAUGAAGGCCCUCGGGUUGUAAACUGCUUUUGUACGGAACGAAAAGGUUUGUCUUAAUACGAUGAGCUCAUGACGGUACCGUAAGAAUAAGCACCGGCUAACUACGUGCCAGCAGCCGCGGUAAUACGUAGGGUGCAAGCGUUAAUCGGAAUUACUGGGCGUAAAGCGUGCGCAGGCGGUUAUGUAAGACAGAGGUGAAAUCCCCGGGCUCAACCUGGGAACUGCCUUUGUGACUGCAUAGCUAGAGUACGGUAGAGGGGGAUGGAAUUCCGCGUGUAGCAGUGAAAUGCGUAGAUAUGCGGAGGAACACCGAUGGCGAAGGCAAUCCCCUGGACCUGUACUGACGCUCAUGCACGAAAGCGUGGGGAGCAAACAGGAUUAGAUACCCUGGUAGUCCACGCCCUAAACGAUGUCAACUGGUUGUUGGGUCUUCACUGACUCAGUAACGAAGCUAACGCGUGAAGUUGACCGCCUGGGG